AACGCAUCUUGCGCUCGCUGGUAUUCCGGCGAGCAUGCCUGUUUGAGUGUCAUGAAAUCAUCAACCCUCUGAUUCUGUAUUGAAUCGUGAGGUGUUUGGAUUUUGAACGUUUGCUGGCCAAGGGACUUGUUCUCUAAUGGUGAAGCUCGUUUGUAAUACAUUAGCAUUUCAAUUUCAAAUGUUCGGAUUGACUUGGCGUAAUAGACUUAUUCGCUGAGGACACCAAGCUUGGUGGCCGAAUUUUGAGGUGAAGGCUUCGAAUGUAAAUAGUCACACAUAAGAUUAGACCUCAAAUCAGGCAGGACUACCCGCUGAACUUAA
rnacentral:misc_RNA from 1 species